AGCAGCCGCGGUAAUUCCAGCUCCAAUAGCGUAUAUUAAAGUUGUUGCAGUUAAAAAGCUCGUAGUUGAAUUUCGGGGUUAGUAGGUUGGUCAUGCCUCAGGUAUGUACUGAUCUUACUGAUUCCUCCUUCCUGAUGAACCGUAAUGCCAUUAAUUUGGUGUUGCGGGGAAACUGGACUGUUACUUUGAAAAAAUUAGAGUGUUUAAAGCAGGCUAACGCUUGAAUACAUUAGCAUGGAAUAAUGAAAUAGGACGUUCGAUCCUAUUUUGUUGGUUUCUAGGAUUGACGUAAUGAUUAAUAGGGAUAGUUGGGGGCAUUAGUAUUCAAUUGUCAGAGGUGAAAUUCUUGGAUUUAUUGAAGACUAACUACUGCGAAAGCAUUUGCCCAGGAUGUUUUCAUUAAUCAAGAACGAAAGUUAGGGGAUCGAAGACGAUCAGAUACCGUCGUAGUCUUAACCAUAAACUAUGCCGACUAGGGAUCGGAUGAUGUUAAUUUUAUAAUGACUCAUUCGGCGCCUUA
rnacentral:rRNA from 1 species